GCGAGAGUGGCGGAACUGGCAGACGCACUACCUUGAGGGGGUAGCGGUCAUACUGGCUGUGCGGGUUCGAAUCCCGCCUCUCGCA
rnacentral:tRNA from 1 species